rnacentral:miRNA from 1 species
UUUACGUGUGUGUGUGUGUGUGUGUGUGUGUGUGUUUGAGAGUGUGUAAAUACACACACACACACACACAUACACACACAAAAGCU